UCCGCCUCCCUCUGCCACGCCUACCCUGGCCUCCAACCGCCACCCUCACCUCCCGCCCCAUCGCGCCGGCCACUGGAUCGACAUCGGCCGCCGCCCCACAGCCUCCACCCUCGGGUCCCCGAGAGCAGCCAUGGCGCCCCGUCAGAUCUGGCCUCUGCCGCGCCUGUAGCCGCCCCUCCAAGGCCACCGGACUCCGCCGCUCCCCUGGCCGCCAGUGCCCCUACUCCCUUCCACAGGCCGCCGCCGCGUCGGCCUUCCACAGGCCCCCCGCGGCGUUUCCCAUCCCCAGGCCACCACCACGCUGGCCAUCCCAGGCACCCCCAAGCCGCCACAGGAUCCGGUGCCGGGGUGGGAUGCGGUGGUGGCCUCGGGGGGCGAGGAUGGGUGGUGGUGGUUCAAGGCGGGGAGGAGACCCGCACCGUCGUCCCGCCAGGGCCCGCACCUUCGCGGCCCAGCCUUCUCCGUUCCCCUACUUCCCACAGAGACGCCGGAUCUGUGAGCCAGUGGCAUGUCACAUGCCGUCCCGGAGCUCAACCGCCAAGGAUUCGUGAUUUCUUCUGUUGUUGCGCUCUUCCUCGACCCCGAUGAGUGCACUUCCUCAACCUAGAAAGAGUGCUGCACUUCCUCCCCUCGAUGAACUGCAUCUCCACCGGUGUCGCUGGUGAGCAGUUCGCUUGUGUUGUUUCUGCUGAACCUCCCCGACUCACAUCAGUGUUACUCCAAAAGAUGAGGUUCAGUUUCUUGCAUUCUGACGGCCAUGCCGACGUGUGUGUGCGCGGGUGCAGCUUGCAAAAAAGCCCCCAAAAUCAACUCGGUGCUGAGUGUGCGGUUUGAUUUUUUUCCUACAAAAGAUGUGCUCUGGUGAAGUUCAUUGCUGAUGUAUCUCUAGUGCAGUUUUCAGAUAGGUGCUACUGCCUUCUGCACUCCUUCUUUGAUCCACUAUGGAGGCAAAAAACAAGACAGGAAAUAUUCUUGUUUAGAAGACCACUUGUCAAUUUGAUGUGUUCAAGAGCGAGUUGUACAAAUUUGUGUCCUAGAGGGAAAGCAGUUUGUGUGUGUAGUU